AGGGUGGGGGAGAUAGUUAGACGGGGUGGUGGAAGUCUUAGGAUAACAAUAAUUAGGUUUUUUUUUUUUUUUUAGCUGAUAAUUAUGUUAGUCUUAAAAUUUUAAUUUUUAAGUUAUAGCAAAUUGAUAGAAAUGCCCUUAAAGUUAACAGAAAGUUUAACAGGGUUAGACGUAAGUGGUACAUUGCAACACCCUAUAAAGUUCAGGUAGCUCAUAA
rnacentral:lncRNA from 1 species